rnacentral:lncRNA from 1 species
UGGCUUCCUGCAUUUGGCGGGAUCUGUGUCUCUCGCUGGUGCUGGCACAGGAGCUUGGGAUCUGUCUCCUCUUUCGCCUCCUGCACCUUGAGAGCCCUGGGCUACUCUGUCACAGCCCCUGUUGCCCUGCGAUCUGUAGGUCCUUGGGGACGCAUAGUUAAGGUGCCAGGACAUCCUGGAAGCUGGGAAAUGAUUUCUUCCAGACCAUGGCUGGAGAAGGAAAGAAGGUGUGUUUUGCCUGAUUCAGGGACUAUAGAGAGAACCAAGUUCUGCAGGCCUGUCAUCUAAGUCUCAGCUGGGUGUCACAAACUCUGAACUGGAUUCCAAGGCUUUCAUGAAUGCACUUAUGUUUGCUGUGGCAGCUGCAUUAUGUCGUGGGGGAUGUGGAUGCAGAACCUCCCAUUCUGUCGUCUUGCUUAUGUUACUCUCCUUUAUGUUUCACUUUCUCAAAUGAAUGUCAAGCAGGUGAUUUUCAGAUUCAAAAGUUCUAAAAUAAAUUGCUCAAAUUUACACAUUAUGUAAGCUGUUAAUAAAAUUUCUUGUAGGUGCUACAUAUUUAUUAAAAUUUUUGGUUGUAAUUUUAAGCUCACUGUAGGCAGAAAGGAAUCAUUAAGAUUUCUAUUCUUUUUUAGUCUGUAUCUAAAUGACCAUAUAUUUUAAUUCCAAAUAUUUACUUUAUACUUCAGUAAUGCUCAUUGUAUUUUGCAAAAUUUAUAUUGUUCUUUUAUUUGAAAAUAUAAGGCUUUUUUUAGCUCCUGAAAUCUAUAUUAUAGUCAUAUAGUUUUAUUAUAGUAUUUGAUAAGAAGAGCAGCAACAUAUUGAGAACAGAAUAAAAUUCUGCUGUCUUUUUAAUGAUUAUUUAUUAAAUUCUUCUCAUUAAAGCCUAUUAUUAAUGAUUGUAAUGUAUUUACUGUAUAAUUUUACUGCAAUUUAUUAAAUGCCAAUGACUUC